ACUCCUACGGGAGGCAGCAGUGGGGAAUAUUGCACAAUGGGGGAAAGCCCUCGAUGCAGCCAUGCCGCGUGUGUGAAGAAGGCCUUCGGGUUGUAAAGCACUUUCAGUAGGGAGGAAGGUAGUGUAGUUAAUAGCUGCAUUAUUUGACGUUAGCGACAGAAGAAGCACCGGCUAACUCCGUGCCAGCAGCCGCGGUAAUACGGAGGGUGCGAGCGUUAAUCGGAAUUACUGGGCGUAAAGCGCAUGCAGGUGGUUUGUUAAGUCAGAUGUGAAAGCCCGGGGCUCAACCUCGGAAUUGCAUUUGAAACUGGCAGACUAGAGUACUGUAGAGGGGG
rnacentral:rRNA from 1 species